rnacentral:rRNA from 1 species
UACGUAGGGACCAAGCGUUGUUCGGAAUUACUGGGCGUAAAGGGCGCGUAGGCGGCCUUCUAAGUCGAACGUGAAAUCCCUGGGCUCAACCCAGGAACUGCGUCCGAUACUGGAAGGCUUGAAUCCGGGAGAGGGAUGCGGAAUUCCAGGUGUAGCGGUGAAAUGCGUAGAUAUCUGGAGGAACACCGGUGGCGAAGGCGGCUCACUGGCCCGGUACUGACGCUGAGGUGCGAAAGCGUGGGGAGCAAACAGG